UACGGAGGGUGCAAGCGUUGUCCGGAAUCACUGGGCGUAAAGGGCGCGUAGGCGGAUGUCUAAGUUGGGGGUGAAAUCCCGGGGCUCAACCUCGGAACCGCCUUCAAUACUGGAUAUCUUGAGUUCGGGAGAGGUGAGUGGAAUGCCGAGUGUAGAGGUGAAAUUCGUAGAUAUUCGGCGGAACACCAGUGGCGAAGGCGACUCACUGGCCCGAUACUGACGCUGAGGCGCGAAAGCGUGGGGAGCAAACAGG
rnacentral:rRNA from 1 species